rnacentral:ncRNA from 2 species
CGUCCCCACACAAGUUUGGUGAUACGCGGGCGCAGUUUUAGUGGCCCGACAUCGCUCGCUCUUUCUUCGUUACGU